rnacentral:lncRNA from 1 species
CCUUUCUCCUUCCCUCUUGAAGGAGAAGCCUUGAGUUGUGCAUCUUCUCUUGAUUUUACUGAGAUUGACCUUGCUAGGUUGUAGAGGCAUGUUCUAUCAUCUUUAUUAAGAAGGUGUUUCACUCUUGUUGGCCAGGCUGAAAUGCAAUGGCACGAUCUCGGCUCACUGCAACCUCUGUCUCCCGGGUUCAAGCGACUCUCCUGCCUCAGCCUCCCGAGUAGCUGGAAUUACAGGCAUGUGCCACCACACCCAGCUAAUUUUCCAUUUUUAGUAGGGACGGGGUUUUACCAUGUUGGUCAGGCUGGUCUUGAACUCCUGACCUCAGGUGAUCUGCCUGCCUUGGUCUCCUAAAGUGCUGGGAUUACAAGCAUGAACCGCUGUGUCUGGCCCAUUUUUCUUAUUCUUAAACAUCCUACUAAACAUUUUGGAGCUAGUUGUAUUGGGAGGUUUAUUUUCUAUGUGGAUGGAGCAGUUUUAAAAAGCUGAAAUAAGUGAAAUCUUCCAAGUGAUUUAAAAAAUUUUUAAGCCCAUGUUUCCACCUACUAAAAUUCAAAAAUAUUUACUAUAGAAGAUGACUAGUCUUCUUUAUGACAGUUAUUUUGAUUUAAAAGGAAUUAAAAGGAUAUAACUUUUCUUGAAACAUUUGCACUUAUUCUUAAUCAUGCUGUCAAUUCAUUAUAUGAUUUUGGAUUACUUGAUUAAUGUUUCUAUUUCUUCUCCAUUAAUACUAAUUACUCCUAAUAAUUAUAAGAAUUAUUAUUCUAUCCAAUUUAGAAAUCCUGCUAUGGAAGCUAUUUUUAUAGUGUAUAAUGAUUAAUGCAUACCAUGUCCAUGUAAACUUUCAAUUUUUAAAUGUGACAACUACUUAUCUAUUGAAUACUUACUAUGUGCUAGGCACUGUUCUUGAAUGCUUUAUGCAUAAAAGCACAUUUAAUCCCAUCAUAGCCAAUAAAGUAUUAUUACCUUGAUUUUACAAAUGAGAUAACUCAGAUAUGCUGACAUCGAGUAACUUGGCCAAGCAUACCUGUUAUGGAUCGAAUUGUGUCCUCCCAAUAUUCAUAUGUUGAAUCACUAACCCCUGAUGUGACUAUAUUUGGAGAUAGAGUUUUUAAGGAGGUUAAUAAGGUUAAAUGAGGUCAGAAGUGUGGGGCUAUAAUCCAAUAGGACCUAUGACCUUCUAAGAAGAGGAAGACACACCAGACAUGCACAUGCACAGAAAAGAAGACCACGUGAGGGCACAGCAAGAAGAUGGCCAUCUGCAAACUAAGAGGAGAGGCCUCGUUAGAACCCAACCCUGCACCAUGGUAAUGGACUUCCAGCCUUCAGAGUUGUGAAAAUAAAAUUCUGUUGUUUAUGCCACCAAAUCUGUGGUAUUCUGUUAUGGAAACCAUAGCAAAAUUAUACAAUACCCAACAAGCAAAUAGCAGAAUGGAAUUAAACCCAUAAAGGAUGGCUUCAAAGGCAAUGCUGAACCACUACACUGCCUUUAAAAAUUGUCCUAACAGUUCAAGUUCAAUUACAGAAAGUUUACAAUAAUUAGAUGUUAAUACUUUUAUGCUUAACUUUAUAUUUCUAUUUCAAAUGCUUAUUUCCUUUUCAAUAGUUAAUAUUUUCUGGACAGCAAUUCUGGACUAUUUUCUAAAUUCUCUGUUUUCUAAAUUCUUAUGUCAUGCCCUCUGUCAUAAGAAUGUUUAUACCCUAUGAUCUUCUAAAAAUAAAUCCUUAAAAGGUGA